rnacentral:rRNA from 1 species
UAGGGAAUCUUCCACAAUGGNGAAAGCCUGAUGGAGCAACGCCGCGUGUGUGAUGAAGGGUUUCGGCUCGUAAAACACUGUUGUAAGAGAAGAAUGACAUUGAGAGUAACUGUUCAAUGUGUGACGGUAUCUUACCAGAAAGGAACGGCUAAAUACGUGCCAG